rnacentral:rRNA from 1 species
GGGCAACCUGCCUGUAAGACUGGGAUAACUCCGGGAAACCGGAGCUAAUACCGGAUAUUAUGUCAAACCGCAUGGUUUGACAUUCAAAGACGGUUUCGGCUGUCACUUACAGAUGGGCCCGCGGCGCAUUAGCUAGUUGGUGAGGUAAUGGCUCACCAAGGCAACGAUGCGUAGCCGACCUGAGAGGGUGAUCGGCCACACUGGGACUGAGACACGGCCCAGACUCCUACGGGAGGCAGCAGUAGGGAAUCUUCCGCAAUGGACGAAAGUCUGACGGAGCAACGCCGCGUGAGUGAUGAAGGUUUUCGGAUCGUAAAACUCUGUUGUCAGGGAAGAACAAGUGCCGGAGUAACUGCCGGCACCUUGACGGUACCUGACCAGAAAGCCACGGCUAACUACGUGCCAGCAGCCGCGGUAAUACGUAGGUGGCAAGCGUUGUCCGGAAUUAUUGGGCGUAAAGCGCGCGCAGGCGGUUUCUUAAGUCUGAUGUGAAAGCCCCCGGCUCAACCGGGGAGGGUCAUUGGAAACUGGGAAACUUGAGUGCAGAAGAGGAGAGUGGAAUUCCACGUGUAGCGGUGAAAUGCGUAGAGAUGUGGAGGAACACCAGUGGCGAAGGCGACUCUCUGGUCUGUAACUGACGCUGAGGCGCGAAAGCGUGGGGAGCGAACAGGAUUAGAUACCCUGGUAGUCCACGCCGUAAACGAUGAGUGCUAAGUGUUAGAGGGUUUCCGCCCUUUAGUGCUGCAGCUAACGCAUUAAGCACUCCGCCUGGGGAGUACGGUCGCAAGACUGAAACUCAA